CAGCAGCCGCGGUAAUACGAAGGGGGCUAGCGUUGCUCGGAAUGACUGGGUGUAAAGGGCGCGUAGGCGGUCACGAUAGUCAAAUGAGAAAUUCCUGGGCUUAACCUGGGGACUGCAUUUGAUACUGUGUGGCUUGAGUGUGGAAGAGGGUCGUGGAAUUCCCAGUGUAGAGGUGAAAUUCGUAGAUAUUGGGAAGAACACCGGUGGCGAAGGCGGCGACCUGGUCCAUAACUGACGCUGAGGCGCGAAAGCGUGGGGAGCAAACAGGAUUAGAUACCCCUGUAGUCCCUGUCUCUUAUAC
rnacentral:rRNA from 1 species